rnacentral:rRNA from 1 species
GUGGGGAAUUUUGGACAAUGGGCGCAAGCCUGAUCCAGCAAUGCCGCGUGCAGGAAGAAGGCCUUCGGGUUGUAAACUGCUUUGUACGGAACGAAACGGUCCGGGUUAAUACCCUGGGCUAAUGACGGUACCGUAAGAAUAAGCACCGGCUAACUACGUGCCAGCAGCCGCGGUAAUACGUAGGGUGCAAGCGUUAAUCGGAAUUACUGGGCGUAAAGCGUGCGCAGGCGGUUUUGUAAGACAGGCGUGAAAUCCCCGGGCUCAACCUGGGAAUUGCGCUUGUGACUGCAAGGCUGGAGUGCGGCAGAGGGGGAUGGAAUUCCGCGUGUAGCAGUGAAAUGCGUAGAUAUGCGGAGGAACACCGAUGGCGAAGGCAAUCCCCUGGGCCUGCACUGACGCUCAUGCACGAAAGCGUGGGGAGCAAACAGGAUUAGAUACCCGGGUAGUCC